rnacentral:SRP_RNA from 1 species
GCCGGGCACGGUGGCGCGCGCCUGUAAUCCCAGCUACUGGGGAGGCUGAGGCUGGAGAAUCACUUGAGCUCAUGAGUUCUGGGCUGCAGUGCGCUAUGCCGAUCGGGUGUCCGCACUAAGUUCGGCAUCAAUAUGGUGACCUCCCGGGAGCAGGGGACCACCAGGUUGCCUAAGGAGGGGUGAACCAGCCCAGGUCAGAAAUGGAGCAGGUCAAAACUCCCGUGCUGAUCAGUAGUGGGAUCGCGCCUGUGAAUAGCCACUGUACUCCAGCCUGGGCAACAUAGCGAGACCCUGUCUCUU